AUGCAGGGAGUGAGGUGCCAAUUGUGGCUGGAACUAUAGGAAGGAGCGGGCAGGCCAGAGCUGUUUCCCUGGGAUUCCAGAACAGAAGGCUGUGCCACACAGAGGUCCCCUGGGUCACAAUAGCAGCUGAAUCUCAGUGGCCAUGACAGCAAGGCAACAACGGGGCCAGCUCCCCAAGGUCCAUGUAGGAAGCCACAAAAACCAAUCUGCAGCUAAUUGAAUCAGAAAUCUAUGAAAGGUACAGUGCAGACUGAAGAAGAUGACUGAGAGGCUUCAUAAUGAGGAACAGCACCCAAAAUCACGCUGCGGAACAGCUCUCAGAGAACAGCACUGCAGUGACAGAGACGGCACCACUGCAGCACCAGCGCCGGUGCAGGACUGGAUGCUCAUGCACAUCUCAGGCCUCCAGAUGCCCGCGACCUUCUCCCCUUCAGCCUCUUCCAUAACCACACUACUCCUUUCCUCCAUCGGCUUCUCCCCUGACUGCACAGAAGCCCAUUUCCCCACCAUGACGAAAAAAAACCUUUCCCAGAUCUAAGGCAAAGGGAAAAACAUACAAGACAGAAUGUAAAUUUGUGCUGCCAGGGGCUGGGAAAGGAGGGGAUGGGGAGUGACUGAUGAAUGGGUAUGGGCUCUCCUUCCGGAGUGAUCAAAAAGUGUUCUGGAACUAGAGUGGUAAAGAAGGUACGACCUCGUAAAUGUACUAAAUGUCAGUAAUGAUAAAUUGUAUGUUACAUGUUACCACCAAAACAACAAAAACAUCUCUGGCCUCCCUCAGAUUCCACGAUAUUACUCAGUACUUUUGUUCUCUCUCCUCUCCCCUCCCUCCCUAGCUUCCUUCUCUUCCAAGCCUGAAAUGCAAACAUUUUCCUCCUCCUCACUCUCAUCCUUCUGUCUCCACAUUCUCUCAUUUGGAGAUAUCAUCUAUGAUCAGUAGCAAUUCCACUAUCCACCCUAAGGAAGAGAGCUCUACAGCAAACCUUAGAAAACUUUUUCAGUGAAGGGCCAGAGAGUAAACAUUUCAGGCUUUCAAAGCCACAUGGUCUCUGUUGCAGCUAUUUAACUCUAUGUGGAAGCAGCCAGAAACAAUAAGUAAACAGGUGUUCUAUGCUCUAACAAACCUUUAUUUACAAAAACAGGGCUUGCCGUGGUGGCUUACACCUGUAAUCCCAGCACUUUGAGAGGCUGAGGUGGGCAGAUCACUUGAGGUCAGGAGUUCUAGACCAGCCUGGCCAACAUGGAGAAACCCCAAUUCUACUAAAAAUACAAAAAUUAGCCAAGCAUGGUGGCAGGCACCUGUAGUCCCAGCUACUCAGGAGGCUGAGGGAUGAGACUCUCUUGAUCCCGGUGGGGGGCGCCGAAGUUGCAGUGGGCAGUGAUCGCGCCACUGCACUCCAGCCUGGACAACAGAGGGAGACUCCAUCUCGAAAAACAAAAACAAAAACAGGAGGCAGCUGGACUUGGUCCAGGGGAUACAGUUUGUCGAUCCUGCUCUAAAGUAUGAUACACUGCACAUCUACAUUCCCAUUCCUUCUUAUAUGCAGUGUAUUUCCUCCAGGAUUUCUGAGGAAGUAUGAACUCCAGAUGUCAUUCAAUAAAUAUCUAUUGAGAGCCCACCAUAUUUCAGACACUGCACUAGGGAUACAGCAGUAAAAUACAGUCUUGUCCUCAUGGAUUUACACAAACUGAAUGUCAUUGGUAUCAACCAUAAAAAUAAAGACAACAAACAAAACAAAAACCCUUACUUCUCCUGACUUUCCCAAUCCAACAAUCCAAUCAGUAGCUAAGUCCUUUUAUUCUCCUCUCAAACAGCUUUCUUAUUCCUUCCUAUCCAUCAUACCUGAGGCUUCACCAAGAACAAGCAUUCCUUGUG
rnacentral:lncRNA from 10 species